CUUUGAAAGGGAUGUAUCUUCUGAAACUCUUCCAUCAACGACACCGUUUACUUUUUCAACAGUAUCAUCGUCUAAGAGUUUCUCUUGGUUGCUACUGCUUUGUUGAGACCGCUUCUUCUCUCUGUUCAUCCUCUGGAGGUUCCAUUCCAGUUUUUUCAGAUAUCCGAUCUUGAAAGAGUCUCUUAUUCUCAUUGAGGGCCAUAGAUGCAUAUCUCUCUUGGAUUGCAAAGUGUUUUCUUUCAGAAUUUUUAUGUAGUCGCUUUAGCUGGAGUGUUUAAUUUGUCUGUCAACUAUAUUUCUCGCAAGAAAGACCCAAAACGAAAUUUACGAAACCAAGGCUGGAUAACCUCAACGACAACGUGUCAG
rnacentral:lncRNA from 1 species